rnacentral:piRNA from 1 species
UAAUGUUGUUCUAAUAAUCUCAGC